rnacentral:rRNA from 1 species
GACAGAGGGUGCAAACGUUGUUCGGAUUUACUGGGCGUAAAGCGCGUGUAGGCGGCUUGGCAAGUUGGAUGUGAAAGCCCACGGCUCAACCGUGGAAGAGCAUCCAAAACUGCUUCGCUCGAGUCUCGGAGAGGAAGGUGGAAUGCUUGGUGUAGAGGUGAAAUUCGUAGAUAUCAAGCAGAACACCUGCGGCGAAGGCGGCC